AGUUGGUGGAGUGAUUUGUCUGGUUAAUUCCGAUAACGAACGAGACCUUAACCUGCUAAAUAGUUACAGGGAAUAUUUUCCGUGUGAACUUCUUAGAGGGACUUUGCAUGUCUAAUGCAAGGAGGUUUGAGGCAAUAACAGGU
rnacentral:rRNA from 1 species